rnacentral:lncRNA from 1 species
UCCUGAAUUGGGACAGGCGCACAAAUGCGACGGGAUUAAACAUGUUUCGUGAGAUCACAACCCUCCUCUAUACCUCUAGCCAAUAAAGAAUGAAAAACACACAAUAAUACGAACAGUAAAACGCACUUGAAAAGGAAAUACAAGUCCUAUGUCAGAAUAGGAAACAAACGAAACUAAUCAAAAUGACAAUGAUAAUAAAUCAACAAAAGACUACUAUAUAUAAAGCUAGCAGUUACUGCCAUACGCCAGCUCCAGACCUCAAUUAAACUGAUUGAAAGGUUAU